UAGGGAAUCUUAGGCAAUGGGGGGAACCCUGACCGAGCAACGCCGCGUGAGUGAAGAAGGUUUUCGGAUCGUAAAGCACUGUUGUUAAGGAAGAACGAGUGUGAGAAUGGAAAGUUCAUACUGUGAAGGUACUUAACCAGAAAGGGACGGCUAACUACGUGCCAGCAGCCGCGGUAAUACGUAGGUCCCGAGCGUUGUCCGGAUUUGUUGGGCGUAAAGCGAGCGCAGGCGGUUAGAUAAGUCUUAAGUUAAAGGCAGUGGCUCAACCAUUGUAGGCUUUGGAAUCUGUUUAACUUUAGUGCAGAAGUGGAGGGAGGAAUUCCAUUUGUAGCGAUGAUAUGCGUAGAGAUAUGGAGGAACACCGGUGGCGAAAGCGGCUCUCUGGUCUGUAACUGACGCUGAGGCUCGAAAGCGUGGGGAGCGAACAUG
rnacentral:rRNA from 1 species